rnacentral:lncRNA from 1 species
AUUUUCUUUAUUCUGGCGAAUUCACUGAUCCCACCGUCUAUACUUUUGUGCUACUUCAACCAUCACGACAUGUUAGGAUAGAGAAACCUUUUUGAAGGAUUACAAAGGGGACACGCUUUAUUUCUUGUCCAGCAUUGAAUCUGAAUAUUCUCCCAAACGUUGACUAGAUUGAUGCCACGUCGCGCUCCGAUUUUGUACACCCC